rnacentral:rRNA from 1 species
AUGUGGAUAGCUCAGGGCCUUGUUCAUCUAGAAGUAUAUAACAAUAGAAGCUUGGAAGAUAUUGGAAGGAGCUAUUUCAGUGAUCUGUUAGUUCGGUCAUUUUUCCAAAAACUCUGCUGCGGAGAUCAAACAUAUUACACUAUGCAUGAUUCAAUGAAUGACCUCGCACUACAUGUUUCCCAUGGCGAAUGCUUUAGGAUUGACCAUGGCAGCAUUGGGGUGUUACCUCAGCAUAUUAGGCAUUUGUCAGUGUCUGCCGAACAAUUUGGAGAUCUUGUGAACUAUGAUGGUCUUGGAAGAUUGAGGACGUUUAUAGUUCUGGAUGAUUCUUGGUUCUGCUCCAAAGACUAUUUGAGUCAUGAUAUACUCGAGAAACUCAAGAGUGUCCGGGUGUUGGAUUUAACCGGAUGCUGCUUCGGAAACUUGCCAAAAGCUGUCAGUGAUCUGAGGCACCUGCGUUAUCUAGCCAUCCGACGCACUUAUUACCCACUGCCCACAACAAUCUCCAGACUCAAUCAUCUACAGGCCUUGUUUGUGCAGUAUCAUUCAUGUUAUCCUCUGAAGAUAUCUUGCUCAAACAAUAGAAAACAUCUGAAAUAUUCAAGCAGGAAUGCUACUGGACGUCAUUUCAGUCUUCCUGAAAGCAUUAGCAGGCUUAUUAACUUGGAGCAUGUCGAUGUAGAGAAGGCUUACACUCUCACAUUAUCAGGUAUACAUCAUUUUCCGUGCAUUGAGGGUUCAGUAGAAUUCCUCGUUGACAAGGAAGAGCAAAGUUUGGUCCAACUGAAGGAUCUCAACAAGUUCAGGGGAGAGCUUUCUGUUAGGUUUCUGGAGAAUGUAAAAAACAGGGAGGAAGCUGCAAAGUCUGAUCUAGACUUGAAGGAGCACAUCUCUAAGUUGGAGCUAUAA